CCCCUCUCAAGGUCACACCUGGAGAGUUUCCAGUACUCUACCGGUGUCAGCUAUGGAAGGGAGAGUCAAGCAGAGGUCUACCCAUUCCAUUCCUAGCAUGGGUAGUGGCUAGCGAGUGGGAGGCAAUCUGCUACAAGU